UACGUAGGGGGCAAGCGUUGUCCGGAUUUAUUGGGCGUAAAGAGCGUGUAGGCGGCCAGACAGGUCCGUUGUGAAAACUCGAGGCUCAACCUCGAGACGCCGAUGGAAACCGUCUGGCUAGAGUCCGGAAGAGGGAGAGUGGAAUUCCUGGUGUAGCGGUGAAAUGCGCAGAUAUCGGGAGGAACACCGGUGGCGAAGGCGGCGACCUGGGUCGAGACUGACGCUGAGGCGCGAAAGCGUGGGGAGCAAACAGG
rnacentral:rRNA from 1 species